UAGGGAAUAUUGCGCAAUGGAGGAAACUCUGACGCAGCGACGCCGCGUGAGUGAUGAAGGACUUCGGUUCGUAAAGCUCUGUUCUCAGGGACUAAGAAAGUGAAUGUACCUGAGGAGAAAGGAUCGGCUAACUUCGUGCCAGCAGCCGCGGUAAGACGAGGGAUCCUAGCGUUGUUCGGAAUUAUUGGGCGUAAAGAGGGCGUAGGUUGUCUUGUAAGUCAGGUGUGAAAGCCCUGGGCUCAACCCAGGAAGCGCAUUUGAUACUGCUUGACUUGAAUGCGGGAGAGGCAAGUGGAAUUCCUGGUGUAGUGGUGAAAUACGUAGAUAUCAGGAGGAACACCGGUGGCGAAAGCGGCUUGCUAGCCCGACAUUGACACUGAGGCCCGAAAGCGUGGGGAUCAAACAGG
rnacentral:rRNA from 1 species